UACGGAGGGGGCUAGCGUUGUUCGGAAUUACUGGGCGUAAAGCGCACGUAGGCGGCUUUGUAAGUUAGAGGUGAAAGCCCGGGGCUCAACUCCGGAAUUGCCUUUAAGACUGCAUCGCUUGAAUUGUGGAGAGGUAAGUGGAAUUCCGAGUGUAGAGGUGAAAUUCGUAGAUAUUCGGAAGAACACCGGUGGCGAAGGCGGGUCUCUGGGCCGAUAUUGACGCUGAGGAGCGAAAGCGUGGGGAGCGAACAGG
rnacentral:rRNA from 1 species